UACAGAGGGUGCGAGCGUUAAUCGGAAUUACUGGGCGUAAAGCGUGCGUAGGUGGUUUGUUAAGUCUGAUGUGAAAGCCCUGGGCUCAACCUGGGAACUGCAUUGGAUACUGGCUUACUAGAGUGCGGUAGAGGGGUGUGGAAUUCCCGGUGUAGCAGUGAAAUGCGUAGAUAUCGGGAGGAACAUCUGUGGCGAAGGCGACACCCUGGACCAGCACUGACACUGAGGCACGAAAGCGUGGGGAGCAAACAGG
rnacentral:rRNA from 1 species